AAAAACAUAGCCUUUAGCCCUAAGAGUAUUAAAGGUCCUGCCUGCCCAGUGAACUAACGGCCGCGGUAUCCUAACCGUGCAAAGGUAGCGUAAUCACUUGUCUUUUAAAUAAAGACUCGUAUGAACGGCUAAAUGAGGAUGUAACUGUCUCUUUUAACUAACCAGUGAAACUGAUCUUCAAGUACAAAAGCUUGAAUAAAAUCACAAGACGAGAAGACCCUGUGGAGCUUAAAAUAGCACUAAGACAAGUAAAUUUUAAGUUGGGGCGACUUCGGAGCAAAACAAAACCUCCGAGCAUAGGGCCAAAGCCCAGCCAAGACCAACAAGUCAAACUGACCCAGUCUAACUGAUAAACGAACCAAGUUACCCCAGGGAUAACAGCGCCAUCUUCUUCAAGAGUUCUUAUCGACAAGAAGGUUUACGACCUCGAUGUUGGAUCAGGACACCCAAAUGGUGUAGCAGCUAUAAAGGUUCGUUUGUUCAACGAUUAACAGUCCUAC
rnacentral:rRNA from 1 species